UUGUUUUGUUUCAGACAUAGGCUCUUGCUUUAUUGCCAAACUAACCUUGAACUUCCAGGAUCUUGUCUUCCUCCUACCUAGGCCUCUCAUAUAUAAAUGUUCUGUGGCUCAAUGUGGACCCCAUGUUUGUGUUCUUUUACAGAGCUUUCUUGAAGGGAGGCAAAGGAUAAGGCAAGUGGAGACCCCCAACUCUAAGACACAAGGCCCCAAAUUAGCUCAUGUUAUCCUACUACCCAUGUCCUCCAAAUGGUAACGGGGAGACCUCUGUGACCACAAUAUGUGGCAGGCACAACUCAAGGGAGAAGAAACGUGUUUUAUCUCUUUUCUUUGCCAGCCUUGUUUCUCUUCAAUAGACCUGGUGGGAAUGGCCAUGUGCUUGAGAAUUUUUCCUUCUCACUUCUGGGCUUUCCCAUAUGCCCUCCUUUGUGCGUCCAGCCCCAUCUCGCCUGGUUGGAAGGUCAAGUGGCUCAGAGUGUUUUGAAGAGAACUGCCAGGUCCCAAGAAGCAAGGCAGACAGUCACACCUGACUCAGGCUCGAGACACAUUCCCAGUUCAUUUUAGAAGAGAUGCCUCUUUCCAGGGACAGAGCUCAGGUGUUUCCACAUCUGAAGCCCCCUCACCUUACACCUGCCCCUGCCAAGUCCUGACUUUGCCAUCUGCUUUCGACCAGUGAUAUUCAGAUGCUCUAUAGUCUAAUGAGUUGAGAGGAAAGCAUUGACAGCCUGCACAGCAUUCUCUAUCACCCACCCGGCCCAAUACUCUUGGGAUGAAGUUGGCCAGCUACCUAAUUUGUCAUUCUGGAGUUGUCAUUCUGGAAUUCCCAAUCAGAGGGGACCAGGAACAUCUAUGAUGCAGGCCGGUCAGACCAGAUGCUGCGGUGGAAGAGCUACUCUGUGCCAGCCGUUGCUGGGGGUGGAAGUCUGACCUUCACUUUCAACCAUGUAGGGAGGCGGUUCUGGAAAGGAGUAUAGCUCAUGAAGGGUAGGUAUCCCCAUAUAGUCAUAAAUGUGAGCUGAAUGCAGUGUCUACAUUGCUCAGCUUCGAAUUGGAAACAUAUAGUUCAUUCUCUGCAAUGCCUCCUCUGUCACAUGUCGGGGCCCAUUAAAAUUUGGGUCGUCAGUUGUCUGUGGCAGCUUUAGCCUUGCCAGUUGCUUCCUUUCUAAUAUUCUAAUGUUUAGCACCCACAAACCCACAGCUUACUCUCACUCACCACGGACGGCUCCUGCCGCUUUUGCAUUCCCUGCCUGCUUGCCCUAUUUAGAUUAUUUUUGCAUCCCGUCACACUUCUGCCUGCUCUGAGUCCUUGCAUGGUUGAAGGAGAAGCUGGGGUGUCACAAGUCACCAGUUAUUCUGCCACCAGCACAUCCUCCCACUGGGGAAAAGUGUGGUGAAUGCUGAGAGAUCGGAAUGUCCCUACCUUGACUUCUUCCAAAAAGCAAGUCCAUUUUGUUAAUGAAUUUGUAAAGGCUUAAAUGUGUUUUUUUCCCCCUUCUUCUUCUCACUGAGACUUCUGUAUUUCUUUAUUGGAUACAAGCAUGAAGUCAAGCAGGUAGUGGGCUCAGCUACACCUUCCCUGAUCCGGUUGUGAGAACUUGAAACUGCGCAGAGGCAGGAAGCAUUCAUUUGACCAUCACCGUACCUUUGGCAAAGAGAGGGGGGCAAUUUCUGAUGGGUCAAACUCCUGCAUGCAAGCAGACAGUUUAACCCUGGGGUCAGCAUUUGUAUUUCACUUAUUGGACUGUUAAUAGAUUUUCUUCAUUUGUGCCAGACGUGGCGAAUGUGUGCAGUCACUGGCCGGCUCCUCCAGUGCGGGGGACCCGGGUCCACCUGUAAGGAGAUGGUGGUACGAGCUGCCGGAGUCGCUGCUUCCUGACAACAUCCCAGCUGUAGACCAGCAAUCGCAAUCCUCGGGUGGCAGUUUUAAUUAUCGGCACCGCGAUACCAUCAGCAAGUGUGUAAUUACGUGUCAGUUUCCUGGCUGUUGGGUAUGAAAAGUGGAUCCAGCGGAAUGAUGAUCGUGGAAGCUGUAGCCUCAUAUUUAAACAAUUCAAAAUGUGUAACUGGCAGUGUCA